CCUACGGGGCGCAGCAGUGGGGAAUAUUGCGCAAUGGGCGAAAGCCUGACGCAGCGACGCCGCGUGAGGGAUGAAGGUCUUCGGAUCGUAAACCUCUGUCAGCAGGGAAGAACGGUCACUGUGCUAAUCAGCAGUGAAUUGACGGUACCUGCAAAGGAAGCACCGGCUAACUCCGUGCCAGCAGCCGCGGUAAUACGGAGGGUGCGAGCGUUAAUCGGAAUUACUGGGCGUAAAGCGCUCGUAGGCGGUAUGUCAAGUCAAGGGGGAAAUCCCCGCGCUCAACGUGGGAACUGCCUUUGAAACUGGCAAACUGGAGUGUGUGAGAGGAUAGUGGAAUUCCAGGUGUAGGAGUGAAAUCCGUAGAUAUCUGGAGGAACAUCAGUGGCGAAGGCGACUAUCUGGCACAUAACUGACGCUGAGGAGCGAAAGCGUGGGUAGCAAACAGGAUUAGAUACCCGGGUAGUC
rnacentral:rRNA from 1 species